AAAAAAAAAACCAACAACAACAACAACAAAACUAUUCCAAAUGGUUUUCGGUGACAUUUAUUAGUAAACACAUAUUUCUGAAUCUAAUCAGCUAAAGAAUGUAUUUGAACUUCAUGUAAACAAUUUAAACUAAAAUAUUAUGUCCACAUCCUGCUGUUUGAAGUACUUCUCCCCACUUGCAACAUGACUGAAUUUGGUCUGUAUAGGCAUCUGUUCCAAAAGAUUAUUGACUUAGUCAUGCUUUGGAAAUUAUUUUCCUACAAGUUUGAUAAAAUUUUUAUGCAUGUAUAUGGAGACAAUUCUCUCUCCCUUUUUUUUUCCCCCUUCUUUGGUGAGUGGGUGCUUGGGUUGGGGAGAGAUGUGGAAAUGGAUUGACUAUCAGAAUGUAGAAUCAUAUUACUUACUGAAGAAAUGGCGAUAUUGUUCUUUCUAUUCUUGCUUAGAAUAGGUCGUUAAAUCAUUAUAUUUCCAGUAUUCGUGAUGAUGCAUUCCUAUUCUAGUUAAGUAUGCCAGGGACAUUACCUAUUCUGAAUCUCUUGAUAUUAUAUCUUGCCAUCGAAUUGCAACACUAAUUUUUGAAAAUUUUUGUCAUGCAGUUGGAUAGGUGCUGCUAAAUUCCUUACAGGGGCAUCAUCUGUUGGGAGCAUAGCCAUUCCUAUUAUCCUUAGGCAUGCUCAUAUGAUUGAAACAGGGGCUAUGCUGAUCGAGUUCACAUCAUUCUUCAUAUUUGUUUGCACGGUCAUGUGUUUUCACCGUGCUAGUCUAGAGGAUGAUUGGUGACUGAAGCAUUACUUGCUAACUUCUGAUGUGAUUUGCUUGCUUUUGUUGAUCAUAUAAGUUAUAUAUGACCAAUUAGUGUAUUAUACAUGGGAAAAGACCAUCUUGUAAAUUCCUUUUGUGAAUAUCAUCAAAAGGGAGCAUGAAUAUACAGUAUUUUGCUUUGCUUGACUGGAUAUAGCUUGUUACUAAUACUUAACUGGAGGAUACUUAUAUCCUGUUUGAUUUGUAAUGUUUUGGAAAGUGCUCCUGAUUUUUAUUUUAAAUUCUUGCUGCCAAGUUCAUUUGUCUGUCUGAUCUUACCUUGGUAGUUUGGUUUCAGUUGCUAAAUCUCUUAUUCUCAGAGCUACAGAUUAUCUUUCACAUUUGUUCCUUGUUGAGUGAAUCAGUCGGCCCACACUAUAACAGGGGCUGUGAAUCAGUCGGCCCACACUAUAACAGGGGCU
rnacentral:misc_RNA from 1 species